rnacentral:rRNA from 1 species
UACGUAGGGUGCAAGCGUUGUCCGGAAUUAUUGGGCGUAAAGAGCUCGUAGGCGGUCUGUCGCGUCGGCUGUGAAAUCCCGAGGCUCAACCUCGGGUCUGCAGUCGAUACGGGCAAACUAGAGUAUUGCAGGGGAGACUGGAAUUCCUGGUGUAGCGGUGAAAUGCGCAGAUAUCAGGCGGAACACCGGUGGCGAAGGCGGGUCUCUGGGCAAUAACUGACGCUGAGGAGCGAAAGCGUGGGGAGCGAACAGG